GAAAUGUGUUUCUGCAGAUUGCGGCAUUUCAGCUAAAAGUUCAACGAGAUUAAAAAGGAGAAAACUUGAGUCAUUUGAGUGAAUAUCGCAAACAGGAUUUAGGCUACAGGUGUUGCUGCAUGUUCUUGGGGUUGUCAGUGGAGCACAGACAGGAAUACCACACAUGGCAGCUCUGCAACUUAUUCUAAGACUUUUAGACCAAGAGGCAGGAAAGAGUGAAGGAAUGAUCACCACAUUGUACCAGGGGUAUACUGAUGAGAGGUAAGAUGAUUUGGGUGGCAGGGGUGACCCCCAAUUUUUUUAACCCAGAAAAAGAUGGAUAAAUGCUCUGACAUUGCUGUGAUCCAGGGAUCUGUGGUCACGGUUGCUUGUGCAGGCAGCAGCCAAUACUUCUGAAUGGCCCCCUUGGGACUACAAAACUGUGUGGUGGGGCAGGGAGCCCAUACUAUUUGCUACAUCAGAAAAAUCCAUUCAUGAAAAAGAAAGACAGAGAAGAAUAAAAGUCUUCUCAGAAAGCCUUAGUAAAAUGGGUGCUUUUAUUUUCACAGACAUGUCUAUGCAAAUACAGUCAGUCACAAGAGAGAGCUUCUUAAGCCUGAUCAAAAUUUAAACUCUGAAAGGUGAGUGAGCCUGUUAAGAGACCUCCACCCUUCUAGUAACCUAUGUCCCUUGAUAUGGGAAGGAUAUCUUAGUUCUCUCUAGCCCCUUGCUUAGGAUUUUAAAUGAGAGACUUCAGCUUUGGUGUAAAGCUGUCAGCUGCCCUAAUCAAGGACAAUACACAAAAAUUAGACUCCUUGUAAGAAUAAGGGAUUAAGUGGAGGAAGAUUUAGAAGUGAGUAGGAACAAAAGAGCAGAACUAAGCCUGCAUCUGCAGAAAAUGUCCAAGGACAGCUGACAGAGUUCAACUCCAUGGGGAAAAGGCAUGUUAGUGUGUAGAGAAACUGGACAAGGAGGGAUAGCCUUAGCCUUCCAUAAUGGAGAAGUCAAGGGAAGGAAUGACUGCAUGCAAUAGAGAACUGAAUUAGAAAGAGGAGAAAUGUAAACCAGCAGUGCUUCCCUAUCUUGGGCCUGGCUAGCUUAAAGUGGCUCCACUGUCAUUGGUCAAAAAACUUUCAUGAGGAGAUCCAAUCACUAAUGCAACAAACUCUAAUGAGUUCUAAGUUGGAGAUGGUUCAGUUCUAAAGCUUGGGGGUAGACAGGUCACUGGGAGAGAAGGAAUGAAGGAGUGGGAUCUGAACAUUGUAAUAAGUCAUCUAGUAGCUCUGAUCACUUUGGACAUUGCUGGGGGAUACACAACAGCUCACUAUAACAUUACAACACAUACUUAUAUCUGUUUGUUCCCCCAAACUAACAUGACAAUGUGUUUCUGCCAUCUUAGCUUACAGAGACAUGAUUUAGUCCAGGUUAUACUCAGAUUUUACAAAAGAGACUUUGACCACAUAGAUAUUCAUAAAAUUAA